rnacentral:rRNA from 1 species
CUACGGGAGGCUCCAGUGAGGAAUAUUGCACAAUGGGGGAAACCCUGAUGCAGCAACGCCGCGUGGAGGAUGACGCAUUUCGGUGUGUAAACUCCUUUUAUCAGAGAAGAAAAUGACGGUAUCUGAUGAAUAAGCUCCGGCUAACUCCGUGCCAGCAGCCGCGGUAAUACGGAGGGAGCAAGCGUUAUUCGGAAUCACUGGGCGUAAAGGACGCGUAGGCGGGUUUUUAAGUCAGGGGUGAAAUCCUAUGGCUCAACCAUAGAACUGCACUUGAAACUGGGGACCUAGAGUAUGGAAGGGGCAGGUGAAUUAGUGGUGUAGGGGUAAAAUCCGUAGAUAUCACUAGGAAUACCGAAAGCGAAGGCGACCUGCUGGGACAUUACUGACGCUGAGGCGUGAAAGCGUGGGGAGCAAACAGGAUUAGAUACCCUUGUAGUC